rnacentral:rRNA from 1 species
UGCCAGCAGCCGCGGUAAUACGUAUGUGGCAAGCGUUGUUCGGAAUCACUGGGCAUAAAGAGUUCGUAGGCGGAUGUAUCAGUUGGGUGUGAAAUCCCGGGGCUUACCCCCGGAACUGCACCCAAUACUGUAUGUCUGGAGUCCUUCAGGGGUAAGUGGAAUUCCAUGUGUAGCGGUGAAAUACGUAGAUAUAUGGGAGAACGCCAAUGGCGAAGGCAGCUUACUGGGGAGUGACUGACGCUGAGGUGCGAAAGUGUGGGGAGCAAACAGGAUUAGAUA